rnacentral:rRNA from 1 species
GUAGGGAAUCUUCCGCAAUGGGCGAAAGCCUGACGGAGCAACGCCGCGUGAGUGAUGAAGGUCUUCGGAUCGUAAAACUCUGUUGUUAGGGAAGAACAAAUUUGUUAGUAACUGAACAAGUCUUGACGGUACCUAACCAGAAAGCCACGGCUAACUACGUGCCAGCAGCCGCGGUAAUACGUAGGUGGCAAGCGUUAUCCGGAAUUAUUGGGCGUAAAGCGCGCGUAGGCGGUUUCUUAAGUCUGAUGUGAAAGCCCACGGCUCAACCGUGGAGGGUCAUUGGAAACUGGGAAACUUGAGUGCAGAAGAGGAGAGUGGAAUUCCAUGUGUAGCGGUGAAAUGCGCAGAGAUAUGGAGGAACACCAGUGGCGAAGGCGGCUCUCUGGUCUGUAACUGACGCUGAUGUGCGAAAGCGUGGGGAUCAAACAGG